UAAAGGGUAACACCGGCUACGGAUGGCCAUGCGGCGCAUUAGCUAGUUGGCGGGGUAACGGCCCACCAAGGCGACGAUGCGUAGGGGUUCUGAGAGGAAGGUCCCCCACACUGGUACUGAGACACGGACCAGACUCCUACGGGAGGCAGCAGUGAGGAAUAUUGGUCAAUGGGCGCGAGCCUGAACCAGCCAAGUCGCGUGAGGGAAGACGGUCCUAUGGAUUGUAAACCUCUUUUGUCGGGGAGCAAAAGGCGCCACGUGUGGCGUUCCGAGAGUACCCGAAGAAAAAGCAUCGGCUAACUCCGUGCCAGCAGCCGCGGUAAUACGGAGGAUGCGAGCGUUAUCCGGAUUUAUUGGGUUUAAAGGGUGCGCAGGCGGAAGAUCAAGUCAGCGGUAAAAUUGAGAGGCUCAACCUCUUCGAGCCGUUGAAACUGGUUUUCUUGAGUGAGCGAGAAGUAUGCGGAAUGCGUGGUGUAGCGGUGAAAUGCAUAGAUAUCACGCAGAACUCCGAUUGCGAAGGCAGCAUACCGGCGCUCAACUGACGCUCAUGCACGAAAGUGUGGGUAUCGAACAGGAUUAGAUACCCUGGUAGUCCACACAGUAAACGAUGAAUACUAAUUGUUCGGGGAGAAUGAUCCCUGA
rnacentral:rRNA from 1 species